rnacentral:tRNA from 1 species
GCUCUCAUAGUUCAAAGGCAGAACGUAGCAAUGGUAAUGCUAAAAUCCAAGUUCGAUUCUUGGUGGGAGCACCA